GAGUUUGAUCAUGGCUCAGAUUGAACGCUGGCGGCAGGCCUAACACAUGCAAGUCGAACGGUAACAGGAAGAAGCUUGCUUCUUUGCUGACGAGUGGCGGACGGGUGAGUAAUGUCUGGGAAACUGCCUGAUGGAGGGGGAUAACUACUGGAAACGGUAGCUAAUACCGCAUAACGUCGCAAGACCAAAGAGGGGGACCUUCGGGCCUCUUGCCAUCGGAUGUGCCCAGAUGGGAUUAGCUAGUAGGUGGGGUAACGGCUCACCUAGGCGACGAUCCCUAGCUGGUCUGAGAGGAUGACCAGCCACACUGGAACUGAGACACGGUCCAGACUCCUACGGGAGGCAGCAGUGGGGAAUAUUGCACAAUGGGCGCAAGCCUGAUGCAGCCAUGCCGCGUGUAUGAAGAAGGCCUUCGGGUUGUAAAGUACUUUCAGCGGGGAGGAAGGGAGUAAAGUUAAUACCUUUGCUCAUUGACGUUACCCGCAGAAGAAGCACCGGCUAACUCCGUGCCAGCAGCCGCGGUAAUACGGAGGGUGCAAGCGUUAAUCAGAAUUACUGGGCGUAAAGCGCACGCAGGCGGUUUGUUAAGUCAGAUGUGAAAUCCCCGGGCUCAACCUGGGAACUGCAUCUGAUACUGGCAAGCUUGAGUCUCGUAGAGGGGGGUAGAAUUCCAGGUGUAGCGGUGAAAUGCGUAGAGAUCUGGAGGAAUACCGGUGGCGAAGGCGGCCCCCUGGACGAAGACUGACGCUCAGGUGCGAAAGCGUGGGGAGCAAGCAGGAUUAGAUACCCUGGUAGUCCACGCCGUAAACGAUGUCGACUUGGAGGUUGUGCCCUUGAGGCGUGGCUUCCGGAGCUAACGCGUUAAGUCGACCGCCAGGGGAGUACGGCCGCAAGGUUAAAACUCAAAUGAAUUGACGGGGGCCCGCACAAGCGGUGGAGCAUGUGGUUUAAUUCGAUGCAACGCGAAGAACCUUACCUGGUCUUGACAUCCACGGAAGUUUUCAGAGAUGAGAAUGUGCCUUCGGGAACCGUGAGACAGGUGCUGCAUGGCUGUCGUCAGCUCGUGUUGUGAAAUGUUGGGUUAAGUCCCGCAACGAGCGCAACCCUUAUCCUUUGUUGCCAGCGGUCCGGCCGGGAACUCAAAGGAGACUGCCAGUGAUAAACUGGAGGAAGGUGGGGAUGACGUCAAGUCAUCAUGGCCCUUACGACCAGGGCUACACACGUGCUACAAUGGCGCAUACAAAGAGAAGCGACCUCGCGAGAGCAAGCGGACCUCAUAAAGUGCGUCGUAGUCCGGAUUGGAGUCUGCAACUCGACUCCAUGAAGUCGGAAUCGCUAGUAAUCGUGGAUCAGAAUGCCACGGUGAAUACGUUCCCGGGCCUUGUACACACCGCCCGUCACACCAUGGGAGUGGGUUGCAAAAGAAGUAGGUAGCUUAACCUUCGGGAGGGCGCUUACCACUUUGUGAUUCAUGACUGGGAUGAAGUCGUAACAAGGUA
rnacentral:rRNA from 1 species